rnacentral:rRNA from 1 species
AUUGAACGCUGGCGGCAUGCCUUACACAUGCAAGUCGAACGGCAGCACGGGUGCUUGCCCCUGGUGGCGAGUGGCGAACGGGUGAGUAAUACAUCGGAACAUGUCCUGUAGUGGGGGAUAGCCCGGCGAAAGCCGGAUUAAUACCGCAUACGAUCCUCGGAUGAAAGCGGGGGACCUUCGGGCCUCGCGCUAUAGGGUUGGCCGAUGGCUGAUUAGCUAGUUGGUGGGGUAAAGGCCUACCAAGGCGACGAUCAGUAGCUGGUCUGAGAGGACGACCAGCCACACUGGGACUGAGACACGGCCCAGACUCCUACGGGAGGCAGCAGUGGGGAAUUUUGGACAAUGGGCGAAAGCCUGAUCCAGCAAUGCCGCGUGUGUGAAGAAGGACUUCGGGUUGUAAAGCACUUUUGUCCGGAAAGAAAUCCUUGACUCUAAUACAGUCGGGGGAUGACGGUACCGGAAGAAUAAGCACCGGCUAACUACGUG